rnacentral:rRNA from 1 species
CGAUACCCGAAUGGGGAAACCCAGUGUGAUUCGUCACACUAUCAUUAACUGAAUCCAUAGGUUAAUGAGGCGAACCGGGGGAACUGAAACAUCUAAGUACCCCGAGGAAAAGAAAUCAACCGAGAUUCCCCCAGUAGCGGCGAGCGAACGGGGAGGAGCCCAGAGCCUGAAUCAGCAUGUGUGUUAGUGGAAGCGUCUGGAAAGGCGCGCGAUACAGGGUGACAGCCCCGUACACAAAAGCGCAUGUGCUGUGAGCUCGAUGAGUAGGGCGGGACACGUGGUAUCCUGUCUGAAUAUGGGGGGACCAUCCUCCAAGGCUAAAUACUCCUGACUGACCGAUAGUGAACCAGUACCGUGAGGGAAAGGCGAAAAGAACCCCGGCGAGGGGAGUGAAAAAGAACCUGAAACCGUGUACGUACAAGCAGUGGGAGCACCCUUCGGGGUGUGACUGCGUACCUUUUGUAU